rnacentral:rRNA from 1 species
CCCUUAGAUGUUCUGGGCCGCACGCGCGCUACACUGUUCGACGCAGCGAGUCUUAACCUUGACCGAAAGGUUUGGGUAAUCUUCAGCAAAGUCGAACGUGAUGGGGAUCGAUCAUUGCAAUUAUUGAUCGUGAACGAGGAAUUCCUAGUAAGUGCAAGUCAUCAGCUUGCGCUGAUUACGUCCCUGCCCUUUGUACACACCGCCCGUCGCUACUACCGAUUGAAUGGUUUAGUGAGAUCCUCGGAUUGGUCCCGGCGCGGCCUCUGGUCGUGCCGGAGUGCCGAAAAGAAUGUCGAACUUGAUCAUCUAGAGGAAGUAAAAGUCGUAACA